rnacentral:tRNA from 1 species
CCGGCGCCCAGCUCGGCGUUCGUGCGGUCCUGGCCCUCGCCGAGGAAGAUCGGGUCGUAGCCGAAGCCGCCGGUGCCGCGUCCGGCGCGCAGGA